rnacentral:rRNA from 1 species
UACGUAGGCAGCGAGCGUUGUUCGGAGUUACUGGGCGUAAAGCGUGCGUAGGCGGUUUUCUAAGUUUGGUGUGAAAUCCCCGGGCUCAACCCGGGAACUGCGUCCGAUACUGGAAGGCUUGAAUCCGGGAGAGGGAUGCGGAAUUCCAGGUGUAGCGGUGAAAUGCGUAGAUAUCUGGAGGAACACCGGUGGCGAAGGCGGCAUCCUGGACCGGUAUUGACGCUGAGGCGCGAAAGCCAGGGGAGCAAACGGG